rnacentral:tRNA from 1 species
UCCGGGGCAGUUGCGGUUGGUCGCGAUCCCUGGCUCUGAACCAGGAGGCGUUGGUUCAAUUCCAACCCCCGGAA